CAGUUCGAUCAGAAAGGUUUUCGCAGUCGUUGAGAGUGGUACUGUUUUUAGAGUCUCUGGCAAAGUAAAGUGUAGAUUAAAAAAAAAUUAUAAGUUGAUUAGGUCCCAUAUAUGGAGUGCACAGUUUUUACAAGUUGAGUGGAAGCUAUAUUUUUUUCGUUCGUGGCUACGUUAUCUCGGUUCGAACACUGCAGUGCACGAGUUCUAAAGCAGUACCAAAUGAGACAGUGAUGCACCUUUCCGACCAUCCGACCAACGGAGCUAGCUCUCAAUCGGCUUGGAUGUCGUCUGGAAACAAACCUAAUUUCAAUUUUGCUUUCAGAUAGAACGAUUCGUUCUGAAGGGGGCGUACCUAGAGAAAAUGUCACCAAAAUCGUGUAUCACAAUCCUUUGCCGUGAGAAUGAUCAAUUGUGCGAUCAGAAACAUGGGUCAGAGCGAAAGAGAGAGAGAAAGAACAAAAGAAAAAGGAACCACACCACGUCUGGUGGUAGAAUGUGCGAAAACCCGAUUCGGCGGUGGUGUUCCGCGCGAUUCCAAGUGCCUAUCCCAAAGAACAGCAGAAGGUUGAGCGAGGGGCCUUCCACUGCUGCUGCUAUCGCUGCUCGUAGAGCUGGUGUUUUCCGAUGCCGAGUUGUGACUUAGCACUACUGACUGCCCCAGCAAGGAGGACUCCACCCGUGGAACCCCCCAUCUUCUGGAUGCAGAGCGGUUAACGUCACACCAACAACGGAUCCACAAGCGAAACCUAGUUACAGGACGAAUAAUACCCGUUCGAUGAAACUGGCAGCAAGCGGCGACAGCGUCAAGGCAACGAGUGAGAACUUCGGGUAAAUCUGCUAGUGAGCACCAGGGGCACAUUAGAUCAGCAUUAGAUGACAGGUAGUGUCUGGUAGAAACCUUUUUUAAUUGUAGUGAGUACAAGACGGCAUCUGCUGUAGUUUAUUCUUCGGUAAUCCAUGAUGGUAUCGGUGAGAAACCGGCCAUCGGGACGUUUCAUUUAACCAGAUUUUGUAUUUUUCAUGAAUUAACUCGCAAAACAAAAAUUGGCCAAGAUAAAAAUCCUCGUCAAUGGGAGCGUGAAACCUGUGCGUGAAACGACAGCCGAAUUCAGUUCGAUUUUUUUUCCGACCAGAAGCUUAUGUAAGCACUGCAGCACAUCGCAGACAGCAUACAUCUUCGGUUUCGGUGUUAAUUCAAUGCAGUUUUGAGCACACAACUUUGUUGUUAGUGGAGAAAAUAGUGGCACAAAAAAGAAAAGAGAAACCCGAAUGAGGUCACCUUGGAGAGGGAAAAGAAACCAGAAAAACGAAAAAGCAAACCAGCUAAGGCCAAGAUAUUACGUGUAGCGGUAAAUAGCGCUGAUUUUGUAUUUCCUACCAGAGCUUUUACGAAUUUACAGCAGCAAGAGAAAAGAGAGUGAGGGAUCAUCAACGUUUGAGUUUCAAUGACUACCUAGUUUUCUUCCCCUCCACUCACUCUACGUUACCCAAUUUAGUAUAGCGCUAGUAAGGCUGAACGUGUCUAGACGGGUGAUCAGCAAAGACGACGACGACGACGAUGUAGGAAGAGAAAUUCACUUUCAUUUCACACACCGCAAAGCGAUAUAAAAAAGCAGAGAGUAAAUGACUGGACAACCAAAAUCCAAUCUUUCUCGAGGUAAAGUGCUGUCGUUUAUCAGCUCAACGCACGUUUGUGUUUUUAUUGCAGAAUAAUACGCAGGAUACGUAGCAAUUAUGACAGGCAGAGAGAGAGAACUAGCUAGAAAAAUUAUUCGAAAUAUUUUGCGGCGAAAGGCAAAAACAGUAGACUAGAACAAUCAACUCACCUUCCCCCCUCGAAAAAAAAAUGCGUUUUGAUUAUUUGCAGCUCGAUCUGAAAAAUCGUCGGUACCGACUGCCCAGAGUCGAGUUUCUCUGUUCUUAUUUCAUCUAUCCAAGUAAAGCAUCAUCAAACAUCAAGUAUCUUGAACAUCCGGUAAUCGAUGAUCAUGGGCCUAUCCCCCUGGAUUAAGCAGAACUUUACCGACGGUAACCCAUUGCCAAACAAAUCCCGAAACCACGAAUUUUCGUCUUUACAGAAUUCCGUGCCUAGCACAUGGUCCGGCUUGGAGAAAAAGCCGAGUUUCUUUGUUUACUAUUUGUUUAUGUUUUCAUCCUACCGCUGGGAAGACCUCCCCCACAAACGACGGAAGGAUUCAAGAACCUAGAACAUUGGAACUAGCGAAUCGUCAAGCUUCUUCUUCCGGACCGGUACAGAUCCUCCCCCCACCCCUCGGGGAGUGUGCCGAGUUUCUUUGUUGUAUUUUCUUUCUGCUUAUUUCUUCAAAUGGGAACCGAUACCACCACCACCACCGUUGGUGCGAUGACGAUGUAUUCCCAGCCGGGGCCCUUGGACGACAGACCGGCGAGAGUGAUUGCGACAAUGACCCGACACAGCUCGCGGUAAUCUAUGCAACCAGCAGAUAUGUACCCCCAAAACCCCGAGUUUUCGUCUUUACAGCAGCAUACCCGAACGGUCCGGCACCGAAUCAACCACGGUAGCCGAGUUUCUCUGUUUAUUGUUUUGUAUUGUUUUUUCCAUCUAUCCUCACAAAUACUGGAAUGUUUGGAAUACCAUAUACUGGGCCAACCAAGACGCACUGAGCGAGAGAGAGAGAGAUUCAGAUCCGUCAGUCGGAACUUCAGAUCCGCAGAGAUCAGCAGCCUCUAAAACGGGUCCGGCUUUCAUAACCAAGCCGAGUUUCUAUGUUUUUUUUCUUUUGUUUUCAUAACAUGACUAUCGAACUCCAUCUUCAGAGACACUGUCAUCAGAUACGGAACAGGAUCGAUCAUUACAACAGACCCGACAGAAUCUAAGUAGGCGAAACAACAAGAAACAGCAGUAGCAAUAGGCGGUAAAGUCGUUCAUUAUUUCCGUGCAACCAGAACCGUUCUUUUUUGCAGUUGACAAAAACGAAAUGUUAACCCAAAACGAAUUAACGAGUGUAUGGGAUUGUUAUCAAUCGAAACCUGUAUUUUUUUUUGGGAGAAGAUUGAAAUCUUUCGUCAAACCAAGACCGUAAGCGAUAUCAAUUUUGUCGAAACAACUAGCAUUUCUUUUACAGAGCUUUAGACACGCUACAAACGAUUCAUUCAUUGUAUGGAGCAACAUCGAGAAUCAGUCAGAAAUUGAAUUGUCCCCCAUGGCCUGCCAUGAAUAUCUCAAAAACCCGAAAGUAAGCAAAAUGUAUUUUCCCCAGCAAACCUAGUUUCCGUAUUUACAGCUAGCUGACAAAGUCGAGCAAUGGUCAGAAUUGAAGUAAUAACGCCAAGUAAUGACGGAUUUCGUUUGACACAUACAACAUACCAGUAGUGUACAAAGUAUUGAAUGCAAAAAAGGAACCCGUUGCGGUAAUCCACUGUUGAAAUUCAGCCCCCUCGACAACCAGAGUUUUACUCUUUUGCAGUUACCUCCGAGCCUCCGAAUAGUUGUUUUUUUCUUCUUCUUCCGGAAAUCGAAUGAAAUUGCAUCGUCAACGAUCCAAAGCCAGAGUUCCCCGUUGAAUCACAGUACAGGCUCGGUGUGUUAGCCGAUGUGGAAUUUCUCCUUCUAUAGUGUGUGUGGCGGUAAUGCGAUUGGUGCGUGUGCUUUAGGCCUUUUCGCGGUGUGCAUCCGUUCCUCAUCCCACCCCCCUCUACUUCUACUGACUGGGCUAAUGUGUACUAAGCAAGCAGUGCAAACAUUUAUACAUACACUCACAGAGCGAGAGAUAAGCAAAGCGAAAAAGGGAACGAGUCAGAUAGAGCAUGCGGUGGUAGCUAUGCUAAUUUUUUACUAUACUACUUUUACUUCACGAAACAAUUGCAUUUUUGCUCUCUCUAUAUAAGUUUAAUAAUCAGUAGUUGCGUUCUAUUGUUUAGUAGUUUUCUUUUUUGUUUUCGUUGUGUUUCAUUAGGCCUGGUCGCUUCCGAGGGGCCGGUUUUUUUUUUACAAUAACCUCUUGUCUUUUCACAGAGUUUCUCACCUUCCAAUAUGCAUUAGAUUUUACUGGUUUUGCUUAGGAUUUCAAUAGCUGUGAUUUUUAUCAUACGAAACAAAAAAAAAACAUGUAAUGGAAACACGUAAACAUGACGUCUAAUCUAAGAUGUGUGUCUUUUUUUAUGGGCUUUAAUGUGACUUAUACAUUUGUUCAUUUCUAAAUCAAUCAAUUGUAUUCUAUUCAUAGUUGCUUUGUGUUUAAGCACUCGACAUGAUAAAAGAAUUGUAACCUUUCCCCUCUAGGAGGGGGCUGUAGAAUACUUCCUAAUAAUGUACAAUUGUAGCACCUACGAGUGACUAGUUAUUAUAAUAAUAAUAAUACUGCACACCAACUAACCAACUGGCAACAAUGUUAUGCUGAUAUGCUUAAGCAGAAGAAAGAGAGAAAAGUUUACUAACGAAAGAAGAAUUAAGUAAUGUGCUUGAAUGUGUUCGAAACUUGAAAAAAAUUGCUUUGAAAAUCAUGUGAAAAAUCGUACCAACCGAAGCUCGGUCCUCUAUGAGGGCCGUAGCACUAUCGCUGGAAAACUAAUUGCAACGGACUGAGGGCAAAUUUCGCUCGGUGUUACGGAUUAGCACCCAGCCUAGGGAGUAUGAUGAGUAUUUGAGGAAUUUGCUCCCGUUGCGUGACUGUGCUCGCUCGGUGUUCCGGAUGAACACCCAGCGCGAAGAGUACGUCACUGAGGUGAGGUGAAAAUGCCAUACGCAAACACACUCACAACCGAGACGACAGCCGGCCGAUCGGCUGAUGUGCCAGAAGAAGUUGAUUUUGUUAAUGUUUUUUUCUUGUGGAAAGUAUUAGUAGUUGGUUUUCGUUUUCUUAUACUAGUGUCAGUGGUAACACUGUUUUUUUACUGGAAGUUUGUUUAUUUUUUGUACUUAUAUUCGAUAGUUGAUUUUGUGGAACACUGGUGUUUAUUUCUGUUUUUAAGAGAAACGAAGCAAAGUGAAUGUUUUUCUUGGAAUGAAGUUUCCUAAUGCAUUUGUGAUGUGAAUUCGAAUUAAUUCCCAUAUUAUGUAAUCAAAUUUAUGUAUUGCUUUAAUGUUCAGUAUGGAAAAUUGUAUAGUGACAGGCGGAAAUUGUGCCUAUGUGUUAUACCUUACCAAAAGUUAUUGUAUCUCACUGAUAGUUUAUUGUUAAGCGCAACAAUUCACAUUUUCUGUGAAGCUUGAAGUUAUAACAAAACCAUAACCUAACAUCUAAUGUAUUUGUAUUGGCAAUGUAUAUCCUACUUAUUAGUGCCUAUGCUCGGUGUAAAAUCCUAAUAUGAAUAAUGUGAUAGUUGCCGCAAUUGAGCAUGUGUUUAACGACGCAAGUAGAGCGCACCCGACGUAGUACCCCGCAACCUCCGCAACCGCAAACCGAGGGAAGUCGAAUAAAACGAGGCUUACGCGGGUAGCCGCGCGUGUGUUUUUCCUACGCUCGCACACAGCACACCUGCACACCAUCGCUUCCUUACUGGGCUGCUGGUUCCGUGCAGUUUCAUCAUCAUCAAUCAAACAAUCAAUCAACACUUCCCUUUUUCAUCUCCUGUUGUGUUCUGCACGAUUUCCGCUUUGAAAGAACGAUAUCGGAAGGGUUCGAUCCACCAUCGCAGGAAGCCUAAUGCACGUAGUACCUUCGCAGUUUUACACGCUGAUCUUGAAGUCACCUGUCACGGAUCAAUCCGGUAAACUCCUCCAACCCUUCCGUUCAGCUAACCGUGUGGAAGCGCGCGAUUUUUAUUUUUCUUUCAGAUUCAGAUUUAUGGUGCUUGGUACAUACCCACUAUUUCACCCAUUUGACCCUUUGCGAUUUAGGAUUUUUGCGACCAGUGCACCAGGGCACUCGGUGGGCUUUGCUUGUUUGGGCCAGUCUGUUCGUGAUCUAUCCGUGAAGUGGGAAACGCAUCCGAGUUUUGUUAGGAAAAAAAAGUGAGCGUCGUCGCCGUAUCAACGCGGCACAUGGCGUACUACGAUUCAGUGAUUUCGAAAAUUCUACCCUUGGGAAAUAUCGAUCCAAUUGUUUGGGCUACUGGAAUCUUGGAAGUGGUAGCAGUUUUGCUGGAGUUGGUAGCAGUACAGUGAUAAAUAAUUAAUUCAGAAAAAAAGAGAGAAAGGAAGACAACCCCUCCCCCAUGUAAUAUGGAAAUGAAGCAGUUUUAUCAGUGAAAAGAAAAAGUUAAUCAUUCAGAAAAUAGUUUUGCCAUCAACGAAAUUUCGAAAGUUCGAUCGAGUCCAUCCAUUUGGAAUUUGAUCUAAAAGUUUACACCGAAUGCAGUCCGUAGAUGGUGUUGAAAAAUCAGUUCAUCAGAAAAAUAGUGACAGCUUAUGUUUUGUGGCCGACGGCCUUCAACAACCGUCUGGACGUCAACAAGUCCAUUCUACACAUUCUACAAAAUGAAGUAAAUUCGAAAAUAUAGUUACCCUGAAAGGCCACACAAGCCUGUUAGAUGCAGAAAAUGUUAGCAGUUUCGUUCAAAAGGAAAAUAUUUCAAAUCCAUUAAUUACAACGUAUCAAAAAUGUCAAAUGUAUCUGCCAUCAAAAUGUAUCUGCCAAAUCCGUAGAUGUUCAGCUAGACCAAAAAAAAACACUGCUUGAAUGUUUCAAUCAAUCAUUCGGAACUUGACUGGAUGAAUUCUGUCGCCAUUAGAUUCAUGCCAACUUUGUCAAGAAUGCAGUUCCAAAAAAAAAAAACUAAGUCAAAAUCCAUCGAAAAUUGUUGGAGAAAGGGAAAAGUUAAUUUUACCAAAACGAACGGAAAAGCCAACGAUUUCAUCUAUCGAUCAAAUUCAAACGUCGAAAAAUCAAAAAACCAAUUUCGUUUCUUCGCACUAUCGAAGAAAGAAGUCCCUAAAGUAUGAGUUCUAAGCCAUCACUAGACUCAUCGAAACACACAUCUACGACGAGAAAAGUUCCUGUUCCUGAUUGUUCUCAACGAUCCGGACGUUAGCAGUUCUGUGACCCCAUCCCAUGGUGGGCAAAAGCUUCUUAUUGAAAAGCAAGUCAGCUGGAAAUUCAUCCCGUAAAAAGUGCAAAAUGUAGUUAUUUUUGGAAAUGGAAAAACUUACCCGUUUUUUUAUACGACCGGUAAAUUGUGAAGGCCUAUCGUGCCGCUAGUGAUGCCAAAAUCGAUGUGAAAAGGCUUUGGAAAAAUGAGAAAAGGCUGCUGAAAGUUUUGUUUCAAGCCCGGAAAAAAAUGUGUGGCAAGUUGUCAAAUGCCACCGGGAGAAAAGAAAAAGUUAAUGCAAUGAAAAAAUUCACCGAUGGUUGCAGUUUUGUGUAUGUGAAAGGCUCUCAUCCAAUGCCAAUGCAAAGUGUUGAAGGCUAUAAUGUUUAAAACGGCUUUUGAAUAGCCAACGGGGACCUUGAACUUGUUCUGGAAAAGUGAAGUAAAAGGGAAGUUAAGCCCCUACUACAAAAGUGGUUGGAAAAGUGCAUACAAAAAUGAAAAGGCCUUAUGCGUUCCUGAUUGUAAGUGCCAUUGAAGAUGCACAUCGAAAGUGAUAAAAAAGCCUUUCUGAAAAAAAGUAUAUGUCAAUUUGAUAAAUGUGUUCCACCCGAAUGAAAAUGGCUCCUUUGAUUGAAUGAGUGGGAGCAGGAUCGACAAUAGGCAAGGCGAAACAGUAGGCCAACGUUGCUCCCGCAAAGGCUGUUUAAGCUUUCGUUCCUGGAUCGAUCUCGAAUCGAAUGAGGGACACUGCCCAUAAACAGACUUUAUCCCGGUUGCUGAGUCCGAAAUUGUACUGGAAAUGACCACUCCGUUUGGUCUUAGAGUCGCAGCAGCAGUAGGAGGAGAAUCGAUCAUCUAUUCAGCGAAAAUACCCCAUCAAAGUUAUGCCAAAUUUGCUUCCGCAAAGGCUGUUUAAGCUUUCGUUUCUGGAUCGAUCUCGAAUCGAAUGAGGAACACUGCCCAUAAACAGACUUUAUCCCGGUUGCUGAGUCCGAAAUUGUACUGGAAAUGACCACUCCGUUUGGUCUCAGUCGCAGCAGCAGCAGCAGCAUUAGGAGGAGAAUCGAUAUGUUCAGCGAAAAUACCCCAUCGAAAGUAGGCCAACGUUGCUUCCGCAAAGGCUGUUUAAGCUUUCGUUCCUGGAUCGAUCACGAAUCGAAUGAGGGACACUGCCCAUAAACAGACUUUAUCCCGGUUGCUGGGUCCGUUGGUUCUAGCCGCAGCAGCUUCCAUCGAUGUUCCGAAACAGUAGUUCCCGAAUUUAUAAACAUAGAGCAGCAGAUUCUGGUCGGCGAAAACGAGCGUCCCUUUUAGCUAUGAAGUAAUCCAAGCAGGCACAUACGACAUACGGUAACGAAGACAACGUCGACGAUGACUGAAGGUGUUAGCCAGGAGGAGAGGUGCAAGCGAACGGUCCCCUCAAUCCUGUCAACCUUACGGAAAAGACUUCGAUUUCGCCUGGUUCAUUCCUUCGGGGAUGGCCUAGGCCCGCAGAGGCACUCUUUCGGAAGGUUUUUUCCAUCUUUGGACGGUGUUUCAAACUCAUCCCUCAAACCAUUCUCCGAUGAAAUUUUUUAGGAUUAGGCGACGUAAGAAAAACAAAACACCUGCGCAAAAAACACACCAAUUCCUGUUCGAGACUACCGAAAUAUACUACCGUCGGCGGCGGAUGCAGCAUAAUAAUAAUAGUCAUAACAAAAAAAAACGCACAUCUCAAACUAAUAUCUUUUCCUUUAUCUAUCGAGCGCUGUACUACUGUUAUCAACGACGAUUCGUUUUAUUUUUGUUUCCAAUACUGGCCGAAGCGGCUUGUGAGUCGAUCGGCCUUUUAUCUCGAGACUGGAUACCUCAUCCGAAGAUGCCAGAAAGAGUGCCCCAAGAAAUUGAUCUUUUUCUUCCUAUCCAUGCAAAACCGAUAUCCGUAACUACACCCCAGAGACCUAGCAAGAAAGAGUGCGUACAAGAGAGAGAGAGAAAGAGAGACAAAGAAAA